ensembl:lncRNA
GGACACCUCAACAUUUGGCUAAAAGGAGCUGAGAAUUGAACCAGAAAUCUCUGGUUGUCAGACUUGCUGCUCUCUCUCCCAGCCACUAUCACCUCUUUGGUUUCUCUACAUCCCAACUGGACACUCGUUGAUUUCCCCUUACAGCAGAGAUCACUUCUCAUAAUUCUUAACAGUUUUGCCAAACAUUCCUGAAACCAGUUUCAAACGGUGCACUGGGUGUUUGCGCCCAGAUGAGGGCAGUGUGUUUUCCCACAUCCUGUCUUCUGGGAAUUCCAGUUGCACCAGUUAGGGGUGGGGGAAACCACCACAGGCCAUGUCAACACGGGCCCCUUUCCAUUCAGUCAACACUCUGGUGAUCCACAACCUUUUUAAACGGCAGAGCCCAAAACAGAUCUUACAUUUCUUUGCUGAGUCACUGCAUGAAGGUCAACAGUCAACCUUUUCUAUCCUCACGUUCUCCUCAGCCUGGGAGUCCCGUGCGUAAGAGACAGAGGGCUCCACUCGUCGAUGUGACUUCCUGGGAUGCUCAGGCGCACCCGCUCCCCCUGCUUCUCUUCCGGCCUCCACCAGAGGAAGACAGGGCACCAUUGAAAGACGCCGGCCGUUCUUCUGUAGGUACCAGAUGCAGCCGGCUGCCGUGGUAACGCGGAGCCGAGACGGCGGGGCCUCGUCUGUGAUGGAUGAGUCCGUGGUCCGUGCCAGGGGCCACGGGCCCCACAGACAAACACAGUGAUGCCCCCCCCCGGGAUCCUGAUAAUGGAUUCCACGUUUUCAGUCUUUGGCCCCUGGUUGAACGUCUUGGCUUUGCUCCCCUCUGGGAUCACCCGAGAUUUAUCCCGUCUGAGCAGCCCAGGACAUCAGGGACUUACAACCGUUUGUUCCCACGUUCACACACACACACACCGACGGUGUGUCAACCACGCAGGGCGACAGCCAGCUCGUCAGGCGCAGUCAGGGGUGAGGCGUUUCACUCAGGGACACCUCGACCCUCAGCCAGGAGGAUGCUAGUUCGGGGAUCGAACUAGCAACCUUCCAGUCACCAGUCAACCCGCUCUGCCACCUGGGUUGGCGUCGCCUCCUAUGUCGUGUGACUGCAGGCACUGAUCAAGGUCGCCAUUGGUUUAUUGUUGCGCAGCGUUGGACACGGAGCCAUUUGUCUUUGACGGCGCUGUGUGUAUUUUGAGCUCAUCUGGAACCACCUGGAACCACCUGGACAGAAGUGUAUGUUUUAGUUUGCUAGUUUCUCCUCGUAGAUCAGCAUGGCGGCUUGUUUAAUGACUGAGUCAUGGGGGCCCCAUCUCGCUAGCCCGUAAAGAUGGGGCGCUGAUAAUGGGGGGCCCAUCAGUGCUGAUUUGUGGUCUUCCUCGUUAUCCUGGUGGGGGCCGAUGACCUGGGGCCCAGAUGAUGUAUACCUUUGGAAACCUUCAGACAUAUCACCAUUUGUUGCUAGGGAACGAGGCUAUACAUACCGAUAUUAUGGGAUGUUGGGGACAUGAUGGAGCGUAAACGAAUAACCUAAUUGAUUAGUCAAAUCUAUAAAAGCUAAAGUGCUAAAUCGAUACGUUUUAAUUGAGUUGUUAUUUUUUAAGGUUGAUGGUUUUUCUAUGUAGCAAAAUAUGACACAAGUGACUUUAGGAGACUUAAGGGAUUUAUCUAUUGCUGUCAGUUAAACGCGGUAUUAAUGGCGUUAACGCAAACCAAUUUUAACAGCGUUAAUUAACGGCUAAUUAUUUUAUUGUAUUUGGCUCAAAUCAAAGAAGCAGUAGCCUGACUGCUAUAUUCAAGGCAGUAUGUUUGUAUUUUCAUCGUUUAAUUGCACUUUAAUAGGCAUUUUUUUGUAUCGUCCUGUUUUUGCCAAUGUUGUUAUCAAUAAAAAAACAUUUGCACAAGGCAAGCCGAUGCACUUCUCCAAGUUGAUAAGAGCAUUAAAAUGAGAAAAUUUAUUGGGACACAGAAAUCAAGGGAUAUUUGGCAUAGAAAAAAUGUGCGAUUAAUCGUGAGUUAACUAUGACAUUAAUGCGAUUAAUCGCGAUUAAAUAUAUUAAUCGCUUGACAGCACUAGAUUUAUAAUGUUUCCAAGUCCAGGAGUUACCUUUGACCUCUGAAAGCCUCACUUGGUCAAGGCUCACUUCAUCCUCGCCCAUCACCUCCAUCCCCCCCAUCACCCCCCUCACCCCCAUCAGGCCCAUCACCUGACCUCCGACCUCCUUGCCUUCACCUUCCCUUCAAGUCUGCUGCCUGAAGGACACACUCAGACGCUGACCCACUUCUGGAUGCAUGGGGAGGGCAGAGAGACUAGGGCAGGGACAGAGACGGACUUGGAGACACGUCAUUAGCAUUUUGUGUGUGUGUGUGUGUGUGUGUGUGUGUGUGUGUGUGUGUGUGUG